rnacentral:rRNA from 1 species
AGAGUUUGAUCAUGGCUCAGAACGAACGCUGGCGGCAUGCCUAACACAUGCAAGUCGAACGAAGCCUUCGGGCUUAGUGGCGCACGGGUGCGUAACGCGUGGGAAUCUGCCCUUGGGUUCGGAAUAACAGUUAGAAAUGACUGCUAAUACCGGAUGAUGUCUUCGGACCAAAGAUUUAUCGCCCAAGGAUGAGCCCGCGUAGGAUUAGCUUGUUGGUGAGGUAAAGGCUCACCAAGGCGACGAUCCUUAGCUGGUCUGAGAGGAUGAUCAGCCACACUGGGACUGAGACACGGCCCAGACUCCUACGGGAGGCAGCAGUGGGGAAUAUUGGACAAUGGGCGAAAGCCUGAUCCAGCAAUGCCGCGUGAGUGAUGAAGGCCUUAGGGUUGUAAAGCUCUUUUACCCGGGAUGAUAAUGACAGUACCGGGAGAAUAAGCCCCGGCUAACUCCGUGCCAGCCGCCGCGGUAAUAC